rnacentral:tRNA from 1 species
GUUAGAGUGGCAGAGACCGGUAAUUGCAUGAGACUUAAGAUUUUAAAACAGAGGUUCAAUUCCUCUCUUUAACA